UCUUCUUCAUUCUUUUCUCUUCCUCCUCUCCAUUCUUCAACUGUUGGUGAAUCAAGUUAUUGAAAUAAAGAGAUUUCUAAAUCGAGAGAGAGAUGGGGGUAUUUGAGUAUUGGUUGUUAUAGGUGGUGCUGUUAUUGGUUAGCUCUGGGAAGAAGAGGAGAUGUUGAUGUUGCUGUAAAUUAGAAUUAGGGUUUUCUCAGAAGGUUGUUUAGAAAUUCGAUUAGUGAUGAAUGAGAUGGAAUUGAGAUGGGUUUAUGUUUAAUUGAAUGAUAUGAAGUUUUUGUGAUGAAGAAUCAGUGAGAUAGCGUUUUCUGAAUUAGAUUAUCUUCUGAGUUGUGAAAGACGAGGAUGAUAUUGAGUUGUAACAACUGAAGAUUAUGAGGGUUGUUGAUUAAUUAAUAUUUUUGGGUGGUUCUGAUGAAGAACUGAAGAGUUAGGUUUCCUGUUGAAAAGAAUUAGGAAAUUGGGAUUUGUUUUAAUGAUGAUUAAGAAGGAAUUGAAGUUGGGUUUUACCUGAAUUAGAACUUGAAGUUGAAGAAUAAGAUGUAAUUGAAGUUAGGGUUUUGAAGUUGUUUAUGAAGCUAGGGCUUGAUUAUGUGUUAAUAAGGAAAUGAUAGAGUUAUCUCUGGUGAUAAAGAAAUUCUCAGUGGUGCCGAUUCAAGAGUUGAGUUCAAACAUCUGGGAGAAAAGUGAGAAGAAUUGGAGUUAGUCGUGGUUGUAAUUGAAGCUCAGGAGAUGGAGUAAAGUUGCCGUUGUUGGUGUUGAUUGAACUGAACCGGUGGGUUUGUUGUUGUCUUAAGAUGACAUGUUGAAUCAAGUCAGGCAAGAAAGGGAGUUUCUCAAUUUAUUGGAGUGAAAUCAUUUUAAGAGUAUUGUUAAAGGUUGGAUCGAUGUACGAAUUGAACUCUAGAGCCGGUGUGGUUAUAUUUGAUUGUGCAAUGAACUGAGUUUUAGUUGUUGUUAUGUCUGAGGUGAAGUUGAAGGUGUUGCUUGAGCUGAGAUGGAACUGCAGUUGAUGUUGAUUUGUAAAUUACAAGGUUUGGGUUUUAUGAAAGGUCUUAAAGUGAACAACAGAGAAGAGAUAAAGUGAUGUUGAUGUUGUAACUUUGAAAGGAACUGUGAUUGUGAAGAGAAUAAGUUUAGAAUUGGAUUUGAACUGUGGUUUUAGAUGGUUGUAUUAUAAUUGAUAUGGCAGUUACAGUAGUGAUGGUGGAGAAGAUUGCAGUUCAUGGGAAUGUCGUUACUGAAUUUGCAGAUUGUGUAGACAAGAACUGAAAUGGGGGUGUUGGUUUGAGUUGCAGUUGUAGGUGUUGUAUUUGAUUUGGUGGUGAACUGAAUAUGGAUUGCAGGUGGAAUGAGAUGGUGUUGUUGUAUGUAUUUAUGUUAAUAGCAGAUGUUAUGAAUUGCUCAGAUGUAUGAGCUAGGUAUGAGUUGUGCAAGUGAAAUGAAUAUGAGUUUUGGUUAUGUGUUGAUGUUGUUGAACUGGGCAGUUAUAACAGAAAAUAAAGAAGAAGAGUUGAACUGAUUUGAGCCAGAUUGUGUUGCGGUUGAGCUGUAUUGCAGGAACAUAGAUUCUGGGAUGAAGGUUAGAUGAGGGUGUUGAGUUGAAACUCUCCAGUGAAAGAUUGUAACUACAUUGAUGAUUGUAGGGAAUAACUUGUAGCUCCACUGGAGGCUUGCUACUGCAAUUGCAGGUAGGCUUAAAUUGCAGUUGUAUUUGUGUAUUAAUCUUGAAGUUUGUUUUGAAUGAAUGAAAUGUAUAAUGAUUGUAUAAACUUAGGUUCUUGGGUAUUAGGCUUGUUAGA